rnacentral:rRNA from 1 species
GACGAACGCUGGCGGCGUGCUUAACACAUGCAAGUCGAACGGAAAGGCCCUGCUUUUGUGGGGUGCUCGAGUGGCGAACGGGUGAGUAACACGUGAGUAACCUUCCCUUGACUUUGGGAUAACUUCAGGAAACUUGUGCUAAUACCGGAUAGGAGCUCCUGCUGCAUGGUGGGGGUUGGUAAGUUUCGGCGGUUGGGGAUGGACUCGCGGCUUAUCAGCUUGUUGGUGGGGUAGUGGCUUACCAAGGCUUUGACGGGUAGCCGGCCUGAGAGGGUGACCGGCGACAUUGGGACUGAGAAACGGCCCAGACUGGUACGGGAGGCAGCAGUGGGGAAUAUUGCACAAUGGGCGGAAGCAUGAUGCAGAAACGCAGCGUGCGGGAUGACGGCCUUCGGGUUGUAAACCGAUUUAGACUGUGACGAAGAGUGAGUGACGGUAAUGGGUAAAGAAGCACCGGCUAACUACGUG